rnacentral:rRNA from 1 species
CCUACGGGUGGCAGCAGUGGGGAAUAUUGCACAAUGGGGGGAACCCUGAUGCAGCGACGCCGCGUGAGUGAAGAAGUAUUUCGGUAUGUAAAGCUCUAUCAGCAGGGAAGAAAAUGACGGUACCUGACUAAGAAGCCCCGGCUAACUACGUGCCAGCAGCCGCGGUAAUACGUAGGGGGCAAGCGUUAUCCGGAUUUACUGGGUGUAAAGGGAGCGUAGACGGUUAUGCAAGUCUGAAGUGAAAGCCCAAGGCUUAACCCCGGAACUGCUUUGGAAACUGUGCAGCUAGAGUGCAGGAGAGGUAAGUGGAAUUCCUAGUGUAGCGGUGAAAUGCGUAGAUAUUAGGAGGAACACCAGUGGCGAAGGCGGCUUACUGGACAGUAACUGACGUUGAGGCUCGAAAGCGUGGGGAGCAAACAGGAUUAGAUACCCUAGUAGUC